CCUACGGGAGGCAGCAGUGAGGAAUAUUGGUCAAUGGGCGCGAGCCUGAACCAGCCAAGUAGCGUGAAGGAUGACUGCCCUACGGGUUGUCAACUUCUUUUAUAAAGGAAUAAAGUGAGGCAAGUGUGCCUUUUUGUAUGUACUUUAUGAAUAAGGAUCGGCUAACUCCGUGCCAGCAGCCGCGGUAAUACGGAGGAUCCGAGCUGUCUCCGGAUUUCUUGGGUUUAAAGGGAGCGUAGAUGGGUUGUUAUGUCAGUUGUGAAAGUUUGCGGCGCAACCGUAAAAUUGCAAUGGAUACUGGCAGUCUUGAGUACAGUUGAGGUAGGCGGAAUUCGUGGUGUAGCGGUGAAAUGCUUAGAUAUCACGAAGAACUCCGAUUGCGAAGGCAGCUGACUAAACUGCCACUGACAUUGAUGCUCGAAAGUGUGGGGAUCAAACAGGAUUAGAUACCCCUGUAGUC
rnacentral:rRNA from 1 species